UACAGAGGUGUCAAACGUUGUCCGGAAUUACUGGGCGUAAAGGGCGCGUAGGCGGCCUUAUAAGUCAGAUGUGAAAGCUCUGGGCUCAACCCAGGAAUUGCAUCUGAUACUGUAGGGCUUGAGUUCGGUAGAGGAGGGCGGAAUUCCAGGUGUAGCGGUGAAAUGCGUAGAUAUCUGGAGGAACACCGGUGGCGAAGGCGGCCUUCUGGACAGUGACUGACGCUGAGACGCGAAAGCGUGGGGAGCAAACAGG
rnacentral:rRNA from 1 species